UCUCUGCAAUAUGAAUAGCUUCCUGUGCACAUGUAACCGAUCCGCAAGAUUCAAGAACUCGAUCCUUUUAAUGACGACUCGAAUAAGUUUUCCCCAUCCCUUAGAUAUUGUUACUUGGAUUUGAGGAAGAUGAAUCAAGAGUUUCAGAAAGACUAGAUCUUUUUGACACUUCAACACAUGGUUCUUCUGGUUAUGAUACUUCAGAUUCUUUUAUUGGCCUUUGUACUUGAUAAUCUGAAAUAUAACCCACAGAAUGAUCAAAUAGGUUCUGGAAUAAUAAACUGAGUCUUUGUACUUCAUCAAUAUUUUUGUCAAAUUUUCCUAGAUUGUCUCUGUCAUUUAACACAUAAUACCUGUAAACAGAAACAUGUAAAAACUCUAUAUUAGGCUUCCUAUGAUUGAUAAUUCAAUAAGGAGUUUUCUGAAGCCUUUGGAUGA